UCAAAGGGAGUUGUAGGGGAA
rnacentral:miRNA from 2 species